GUGUACGAUUCCCGUCGAUUUCACAUUAAAAAUCUGUUUGUAAAAUUUUCAUUUAAAACUGUAUUGUGUUCUUAAAUCAAAAUUAAUCAUUUAAAAGACAAAAAAAGACGUCAAAUUGUUAUAAUUCCAAAAAAUAAAUUUAGAGAUAUCCGGACAAUAUUUGAUAUCAAUAUUGUAAUCUUGUUUUUGUCACGAGAUCUAUUGUUUUCACUAAAUACUGAAAUCUACGAUAUAUAUCACUCGGAACCGUAACCCGUUAAGAUGCUGUUUAUCAUUUUUCGCUACACCUGCGGUCUAUUUAUCUUCUGUCUUCUUAUAUUUAAAUCUAAUUUCGUCUCAUAAGAUUUAUAUCUUAACGCAUAAUGUAAGUGGAUUGAAAAUUAUUUCGAUUUAGAGAGCCCGAAAACUCAAACCAGUUGAAGAUGAAGAAGAAUUAAUGCACCUUGUUGAAGUGAGCGAAUUCUCUGAUCUUGGCAGAUAUGUUAUUUUGAAACCAUCUGUAAAGGCUAUCUAUGCUCUUUUACUUCAGCACCAUCUUGGAAUUGGCGAUGACGUAUUGUAAA